rnacentral:rRNA from 1 species
UUCUGGCUCAGGAUGAACGCUGGCGGCGUGCUUAACACAUGCAAGUCGAACGAAGCAUUGCGAAGGAAGUUUCGGACGGAAUUGCUUUGACUUAGUGGCGGACGGGUGAGUAACGCGUGGGUAACCUGCCGUAUGCAGGGGGACAACAGCUGGAAACGGCUGCUAAUACCGCAUAAGCGCACAGCAUCGCAUGGUGCAGUGUGAAAAGAAUUAUCGGCAUACGAUGGACCCGCGUUGGAUUAGGCAGUUGGCGGGGUAACGGCCCACCAAACCGACGAUCCAUAGCCGGCCUGAGAGGGUGAACGGCCACAUUGGGACUGAGACACGGCCCAAACUCCUACGGGAGGCAGCAGUGGGGAAUAUUGCACAAUGGGGGAAACCCUGAUGCAGCGACGCCCGCGUGAGUGAAGAAGUAUUUCGGUAUGUAAAGCUCUAUCAGCAGGGAAGAAGAUGACGGUACCUGCACAAGAAGCCCCGGCUAACUACGUGCCAGCAGCUGC